rnacentral:misc_RNA from 1 species
CACCCAGCAGCAGCAGCUGGCAGUUCAGCAGGAAAUGCUGCUCGUGCAGAGAGAGGCAGUCGAUGCACUCCGUCGACUUGCAAGCGCUGUAGAGGGACAAGCAGCAGCAAGUGCGCACCAGUCGUCCGCACUGACUUCGCUAGUGCUUCAGCUCGUCGGUGUGCAGAAUCUCCAUCCGCCAGCC